rnacentral:rRNA from 1 species
UACGGAGGGAGCAAGCGUUACUCGGAAUUAUUGGGCGUAAAGGGCGCGUAGGCGAUUUGAAAAGUCUUGUGUGAAAGCCCCGAGCUUAACUCGGGAAGUGCACAAGAAACUGUUGAAUUUGAGUUCCGGAGAGGAAGGCAGAAUUCCCGGUGUAGCGGUGAAAUGCGUAGAUAUCGGGAGGAAUACCAGUGGCGAAGGCGGCCUUCUGGACGGAUACUGACGCUGAAGCGCGAAAGCCAGGGGAGCAAACGGG